CCAGACUCCUACGGGAGGCAGCAGUGGGGAAUAUUGGACAAUGGACCAAGAGUCUGAUCCAGCAAUUCUGUGUGCACGAUGAAGUUUUUCGGAAUGUAAAGUGCUUUCAGUUGGGAAGAAAAAAAUGACGGUACCUGCAGAAGAAGCGACGGCUAAAUACGUGCCAGCAGCCGCGGUAAUACGUAUGUCGCGAGCGUUAUCCGGAAUUAUUGGGCAUAAAGGGCAUCUAGGCGGCCGGAUAAGUCUGGGGUGAAAACUUGCGGCUCAACCGCAAGCCUGCCCUGGAAACUAUGCGGCUAGAGUACUGGAGAGGUGGACGGAACUGCACGAGUAGAGGUGAAAUUCGUAGAUAUGUGCAGGAAUGCCGAUGAUGAAGAUAGUUCACUGGACGGUAACUGACGCUGAAGUGCGAAAGCUAGGGGAGCAAACAGGAUUAGAUACCCUGGUAGUCCUAGCUGUAAACGAUGAUUACUGGGUGUGGGCAUGAAGAGUGUCCGUGCCGAAGCUAAUGCGAUAAGUAAUCCGCCUGGGGAGUACGGCCGCAAGGCUGAAACUCAAAGGAAUUGACGGGGGCCCGCACAAG
rnacentral:rRNA from 1 species